rnacentral:lncRNA from 1 species
CUAAUUCCUUCAUGGCUGUUUAGUGGAGCCUGAAGGGUGGGGCCUCGUGUGGCCCGUCUGCCCUCCUUCAGGCUGUGCCGCACUGGUGCGUUUGGUGUGUGCUUGGUGAGAGUCUUUGGGUCCUGCUCGGAGGAGGCAGGAGCGUGAACGGCGCUCCCAGGGCCAACCAACGGUCUGUGGUCAUCAGCAGGCCUGGAGCUGCCUGUGCAGGGUGGAGGGGGCUGUUCUGGUCUUGGCCUCACCUCCUCUGCCACAGCUGCAAGUUUAAGUGCCUAACCCAUCAGGGUCAAACCCAGGGGAGUGCUUCCGCUGGCAAGAAGGCCCACACAGAGAGGCGAGCCCUGACUUCCGCUGUGCGCCCAGCACUGUGACCCAGAAGGCCGGCCCCAGCGUUGGUCCUCGCGGGACGCUUGUGUGGACCCCGGUGAGGAGCAAAGGUGAACAUGCUUGUCGUGGUGCAGCACACAGUGACCUGCGGCUGAUUCCAGCUUCAGCUUGUUCUCUGUAGACCAGAAAAAGGCAGCUGUGAGCAGCGUGCGGGGAGAAUGGUCCCAGGGGCUCGGCCUCCCACCUGCCUGUCUCAGGACCCCAGGGCGCUCCGGACCCCAGGCUCAUCUCACUGUUGUACUAUGUAGGCUGGUUGAUGUAUAGGUUGUCAGACAUUCUCAGUUGAACUGAACACACAUACUUGGGCUUUCUCUGAUCUGUUCAUUACCUCCUUGGUAUGUAUGGGGCAACUGUCAAGGGCAAGGUGUGUGUGGCAUACACGAUGUUUUGGAGGACUCGAGCCCAAAGACUGACACCCAAGGAGGUGACAUGCAUGUGAACACCCAGGAGUUUGAAGCUAGUGAAGACACCUCAAGAUGGCUCACUAGGAGUUUACCAGCCUCGCUUUGUGAAGACAGCCUGUGAUCUUCAUCUUCCAAAG